GACGAACGCUGGCGGCGUGCUUAACACAUGCAAGUCGAGCGGAAAGGCCCUUUCGGGGGUACUCGAGCGGCGAACGGGUGAGUAACACGUGAGUAAUCUGCCCUGUGCUUUGGGAUAGCCACCGGAAACGGUGAUUAAUACCGGAUACGACCAACCUACGCAUGUGGUGUUGGUGGAAAGUUUUUCGGCGCAGGAUGUGCUCGCGGCCUAUCAGCUUGUUGGUGGGGUAAUGGCCUACCAAGGCUUCGACGGGUAGCCGGCCUGAGAGGGUGACCGGCCACACUGGGACUGAGACACGGCCCAGACUCCUACGGGAGGCAGCAGUGGGGAAUAUUGGACAAUGGGCGGAAGCCUGAUCCAGCAACGCCGCGUGAGGGAUGACGGCCUUCGGGUUGUAAACCUCUUUCAGCACCGACGAAGCGAGAGUGACGGUAGGUGCAGAAGAAGGACCGGCCAACUACGUGCCAGCAGCCGCAGUAACAC
rnacentral:rRNA from 1 species